CAUCUUAAAGUGCACUUUAUCACAUGUUGUGAUAUUGAGGAGCGAUGGUGAGUUUCUCCCGCAGAGAGCAGCUCCUCCCCCCGGCUAUAAGAGCCUCUGCCAGGUAUCAGUCUUUAAAUACAGCCUGCAGAGAGCGCGAGGAGGGUCUCUCACGUUCAACCACACUCUCUACCCGGGUCUCCUGCAGCCGGUACCGGGAUGUCGGAUCCUCUGUGCUUCUGCUCUCGGUGAUCAAACGGAGGAUUUUGGCACCGGGACUUUUUAUUUUAUGUUUUAUUAAACAUGACUUUCGCCACCAUGCUGCGGCCCAUGGCGUCACACUUACUUUACUCUGACGUCAUCACCUCUGAGGAGGAUGAGGAGGAGAACCAGAGCGACGGCGGCGGUUCGGAGCAGAGCUACUGCGGGAAAAGGAGCAGGAUUUCCCGCAGGCUGAGCGCAGAGAUGCCGGUGGUUGUGCAGCAGAGGAGCGCGGCGAACGCUCGGGAGCGCGGCCGGACGCAGAGCGUGAACUCCGCCUUCACUUCUCUGCGGAGCCUCAUCCCCACGGAGCCCGUGGACCGGAAGCUCUCCAAGAUCGAGACUCUGCGACUGGCCUCCAGCUACAUCUCUCACCUGGCCAACGUGCUGCUGCUGGGGGACGGAGGCACGGAGGGACAGCCGUGCCUGCAUGCGCCGAGAGAGAGCGGAGCGCAGCAGCCGCGCAGCAUCUGCACAUUCUGCCUGAGCAGCCAGAGGAAAGGGAUAAAGGACGGCAGAGAGUGUUUAAAGAUGAGAGGACUCGCUGCGCUGAGAGUGAGACGCUGAGAGUGAGACGCUGACAGGAGAAUGAUUUAAAAACCUGAACAUCCUCAAAGACUUUCUCAGGGAAGAGUCACAUCACACACACACACAUGCUGGAUCACACGAUGAAGAAGAGACUAUUUAUUCUUGAUGUAUGUGAGUUUCAGAGAUGCCGUGCAUUUGUUUGGAAACUUGUGUCUUUUUGUCUUUUUGUUC